UAGGGAAUCUUCCGCAAUGGACGAAAGUCUGACGGAGCAACGCCGCGUGAGUGAUGAAGSCUUUCGGGUCGUAAAACUCUGUUGUUAGGGAAGAACAAGUACGAGAGUAACUGCUCGUACCUUGACGGUACCUAACCAGAAAGCCACGGCUAACUACGUGCCAGCAGCCGCGGUAAUACGUAGGUGGCAAGCGUUAUCCGGAAUUAUUGGGCGUAAAGCGCGCGCAGGCGGUUUCUUAAGUCUGAUGUGAAAGCCCACGGCUCAACCGUGGAGGGUCAUUGGAAACUGGGGAACUUGAGUGCAGAAGAGAAAAG
rnacentral:rRNA from 1 species